rnacentral:lncRNA from 1 species
CUGUGCGGAUCAAUUCUGUCAUGCCCUCUGUUACCUAUCGAGUACUCCUUAGUACUCCAUUGGUCGCAAAGGGCUUCUUAGAUGUCUGUCCACAUCUAAUGAUCUAUGUAAGACUUUCAAUCCGAUAGUGACUCAGAACUGGAGUGCUCUAUGGCAGACUAUCGAAGGCUGUACCAUCUAUUCUAGAACCUCCACAUGGUCACCUCCUUGAAGAUCCGAC